rnacentral:rRNA from 1 species
UAACGCGUGGAUAACCUGCCGUAUACAGGGGGAUAACACUUAGAAAUAGGUGCUAAUACCGCAUAAGCGCACGGUUCCGCAUGGAACAGUGUGAAAAACUCCGGUGGUAUACGAUGGAUCCGCGUCUGAUUAGCCAGUUGGCGGGGUAACGGCCCACCAAAGCGACGAUCAGUAGCCGGCCUGAGAGGGUGAACGGCCACAUUGGGACUGAGACACGGCCCAAACUCCUACGGGAGGCAGCAGUGGGGAAUAUUGCACAAUGGGGGAAACCCUGAUGCAGCGACGCCGCGUGAGUGAAGAAGUAUUUCGGUACGUAAAGCUCUAUCAGCAGGGAAGAAAAAAAGUCCUUUGGACUUUGGACGGUACCUGACUAAGAAGCCCCGGCUAACUACGUGCCAGCAGCCGCGGUAAUACGUAGGGGGCAAGCGUUAUCCGGAUUUACUGGGUGUAAAGGGAGCGUAGACGGCAGCGCAAGUCUGGAGUGAAAUGCCGGGGCCCAACCCCGGAACUGCUUUGGAAACUGUGCAGCUGGAGUGCAGGAGAGGUAAGCGGAAUUCCUAGUGUAGCGGUGAAAUGCGUAGAUAUUAGGAGGAACACCAGUGGCGAAGGCGGCUUACUGGACUGUAACUGACGUUGAGGCUCGAAAGCGUGGGGAGCAAACAGGAUUAGA